GAUCAUUCCCCGCCACGGAUUGGUCCGCCGCGCUGCUUCUUACGCCCUGCCGCAGUCACACAACAACGCGCCAUCGACAAAGACCCGAGCCUCCCUAUUGGUCAAGUGAGACGCCGCUCUUAAUUGGCCGGAAUGGAAAGCACUACAUCAUUGGCUGAUGCAACGCCGCCAUGACAGUGACGCAGCUGCGCAUGACGUGGACCAUAACAACAACAGUAAAGGAGGGAAAAAAGAAGGAGGGGCUUAGGAGAAAGACGCUGAUUGGACAACCCGCGCGUGAUCUCCGUCACGUGAUCGCAUCUCUUUCGCCUCUUCCUCGGCUCCCCUCCCUUACCGUUACUAUGAUUACGAAAACAAAAGAACAGCCUGCCUAAGUGGAGAGUGUUGGUGUCAUCCAUGUUCAACAUUUACACAAAUGACCAGCCACUGCUAGAAGUGGACAUAGAGUUUCAUCUAUGCUGACGAUCGUGCCAUCACCGCCCAAGCAGGGAGCUUUGAAAUGGUUGAACAGAAGCUCUCUGAAGCUUAAGGUGCUCUUACUGCCUCUUACAGCAAUAAAAGCAAUAAGGAAGCAGCAGUCAGCAAUAAAAGGACCAAGGCAAUGA